rnacentral:antisense_RNA from 1 species
AGGCACAAGGGAGGAAACAGAUCCAGAGAUGUCAUGAACUUGCCCAAGGAUGGAUCCUUAGGGUGUUGACUGCUGCAGUUUCAAGCUUACAUCUGCACCCUGCAAAAUCCAGAGGAAGAGACAAUGCCUGUUCCAGUGGCUCUCAAGAAAUUCUUUUCCAGCCAGGCAUGGUGGCUCAUGCCUGUAAUCCCAGCACUUUGGUAGGCUAAGUACUGGACUGGUUUUGAUGCUUUCACCAGUAACAGAAGCUCAAGCUGUGCUCAACUGACCCCCAAGGAUCCAGCCUGUCUCUGGGAUUCUCUAGGCCGUCCCAGAACUCCUACCAUGACCAGGGAAGUGUAGGGUUGGGGUUUGGCCCUAGACCUCUUAUCUGUCGACCUGCAAAGCCGUUUUAGUAACAGAUUUGGAAGCAAAGUAAGGUUUUUGAUGGCAGCUUGGUCACCAGCACUUCACUUAGGAACCAGUGCUGGGGAAGCGGGUGGGACAAUUUCUGAGUGUCUCCUGGGACAGACACAUAGGCCAUCGCUCCGCUAGGGGCAUGGACGGGUAUGUGUGGGUCAAAUUGCUAAAUAAUCUCCAAAGCUCAUUACAAUUAAUGGGCCGACCUAUUCCCCAAUGCCUGCUUUACUGGAAUUGUUCGGCCCCAUCCUUCCCCCAUAGUACAGUGAGCCAAUUUAAAUUUUCAGUGAAGCAGUUCUUCAGCACUUGUGCGAUAAUAAUCAGCUUACAGGUCAAGGACCUUGGCAAUUCACCAAGGAGAUUGUUACAUUUGAGCAAUUCACCAUUACAAUCCAUGGGCCCAGAGGUUCCAGGAGCUUGCUUCCAGCCACCUCCACCAGGAUGCCAGGCAUAAACAGGGUCUCGCCAUGUUGCCCAGGCUGGUCUCAAACUCCUGGACUCAAGCAAUCCUCCCACCUCAGCCUCCCAAAGUGGUGGGAUUACAGGCAUGAGUCACCACAGCCAGCCCAGUACCUGCUUUUAAGGAGUUCAUACCAACCAGAGUUCAAGCAAAAAAAAAAAAAAGGUCUACUUAAACUUUGAAAGAUGAGAUUGUUCAAAAAUGACACGAGAAAAUCACCCAUCACCACUAGGUUAAAGACUUGAAUAUGUGAGAGCUCCAGAGCCUCAAACUCCUACUACAGUCACUGAUCCAUAACAUUUUCCUCUUGCAAUAGACUCCACGCCAAAGUAGCACAGUCUUGC